UGUUGUUAUUGUUGUUUAAAUCUUCCUGGAAGGCAGAAAGAAAGAGAUAAAAAGGAAAAAACAGCAUUUGUCACUUAUAGUGCUCUGGUUAGCACAGUAGCUGGGCCCCUGAACCCUCUACAGGCCUCCCAAGCUGGCACUGAAUAAAAUGUGAGAAAUGAAAGGAACUUUUCCGUGAGUCUGGCAGCGCCGACAGACACUGAGGUGGCAGAGCUGUCUGGUCCCAGUCCACAUGCAGAGGCCUGCAGCUCCUCCUUCCAGCCCGCACCCACCAGAGCUUCUCAGACGGGCCGUGUCCUGAGAAGGUUGUUGCCAAUGUAGAUGUUUGAGAGGCUCACUGAUGAACAAAUCAACAGAGCAGAUUUAAUCUGAAGAGAUCCAAAUAUUGUGCUUCUUUGGACUCAUAGAAAUGGCGAAAGAUUUAACAUCAGGAAGUACUUAAGUCAGCUAAUUUCUAGAGCCUUCUUCCUCCCUGUCACUUGAUUCUAGAUAGGAUCACCAGUUAGACAUCAGAACCAGAUCUUUUUAUCCAGAGAAGUACCAGUUUGUUGUUUUUCCUUCCGAAGCCAAGUCCUCGAGUUUCAGGAAAGCAAAAAGCCCCGAAGAGCCUGGCUUGGAAUAAAAACAUGCACCAUACAAGAUUUUUAUGAAGAUUAAAUAACUUGGGCUAAAAUAUUCUGGAAGCUGCCAAGGGCUCUACAGAUGAGCUAUACAGAGGCAUUUGCUGAAAACUGGCCUGGAUUGACAAGCGCAAUGCAAACGUGGCUGCGGCAGUUCCAGGCAUCACAUGGUAACAAGAUCACAUCCAGUGAAGAAGGAAUUCUCAUAAGACAGUCAGCAGAUUUUGCAGGUUUUCAACUGAUUGGAUGAGGUUCACCUACAUUAUGGAGGACAGUCUGCUUUACUCAAAGUCCAUCAAUGUAAAUUCCUGCAAGGUGGAUAUCACUCUCACCUUCAGCGCACAAAGAAAGGAGGUAUACAGAAGACACAGAACUCACCAAAGUCACAGGAACUAGGUGAGGAUGAACCAGGCUGCAUCCAAGCAGCCCAGCUUCAGGGUCUGUAUUCUUUGCCACUACCCAGAACUUUUACCAAUAAGCAAAGCUAUUGUUUGCAAUAACAGGAAGCAAAAAUAGCAAAAAGUUCCCUUUAAGGGGGAGUGUUAUAAUAUACUUAACAAUCAGAAUGGCUGAAGCACUGAUCUGUGAGAGUGGCUACUGGUCAUAGCCUGGAGCUGGUCUUUUAGGUCCUCUUUGGUUACUGGAUCCUGGGAGGAUGGAUGAGGAAGUGGUCUCAGGCAAGGGGUGGAGUUAAGUGGCUGUGGAAGGUACUUUGGAGGCUCAGGCAGCAGCUUUUUUUCCCCUUAAACUUUUGUUUUAAGUUCUAGGGUACACGUGCAGGAUGUGCAGUUUACAUAGGUAAACGUGUGCCGUGGUGGUUUGCUGUACAGAACAAACCAUCACUCAGGUAUUAUUAAGCCCAGCACCCAUUAGCUAUUCUUUCUGAUGCUUUCCCUCUCCCAACUUCCACCCGACAGGCCCCAGUGUGUGUUGUUCCCCUCCCUCUGUUCUCAUUGUUCAGCUCCCACUUAUAAGU
rnacentral:lncRNA from 1 species